rnacentral:tRNA from 1 species
AAACUUUCAAAAAUAUAGCUUCUAACUAUGUAAAAGUAAGGCCCUUACUAAAGUUUU